rnacentral:rRNA from 1 species
UACGUAGGGGGCUAGCGUUGUCCGGAAUCAUUGGGCGUAAAGCGCGUGUAGGCGGUCCGGUAAGUCCGCUGUGAAAGUCGGGGGCUCAACCCUCGGAUGCCGGUGGAUACUGUCGGGCUUGAGUACGGAAGAGGCGAGUGGAAUUCCUGGUGUAGCGGUGAAAUGCGCAGAUAUCGAGAGGAACACCAGAGGUGAAGACGGGUUGCUGGGCCGACACUGACGCUGACAGCGCGAAAGCCAGGGGAGCAAACGGG